ACCUGUAUUAUUUAUUAAGAUUACAAUUAAUGCAUUAUUCAAAACUUAUACAUCAUACAUCGGUAGAAAAGACGUUAACUAUGAUAACACUCGGAUGACACUAAAGAUGGUUCACAUUCAACAAUGAGCACAACACAUAAUGUGACUAAAACUGGCAAUGCUAUUAAAGGUCCUGGUUACACACAAUCUGAAACAAUUUAAUCCAGAAAACUAAUUGACUGAUUCUUGCUAAAAAUAUAAAUAAAAUAAACGAAUUAAACUAUGCGAUGUUUCUCACACAGAAGAAACUCUAUAAGUAUCCGUUUACAUGACGUUGAUAAAUGUGCCACACAGAAUAGCAUGCUAAAGUAAAGCUUGAUACAAUACAAUAGAUAGCCAUGCUUUGUAGAUCCUACAGAAAAUGCAACGGAAUGUUUAUGCACAACCAUAAGGUGUAUAUAAGUAUCCAAUAAGCAGACGUUGACAUACGAUAUUAACCGGUAAUACUAACAGAACAAACAAUCGUACAAAUACUUGCUUUACUACUAAUUGUUUUCUAUUUUUAUCUAUUUUUUAAUAAUUUGUAAUCAUGAAGUUGAAUUGAUUAAUCUGUUAAGAUAUUUUCACAACAACAAGAUACAGUUAUUGGAGAGUAAUACUUUUAUCAACAUGACAAACUUGUAUUACAUACACUUGAGUGCAAACAAUAUCACCCAUAUCAAAGAACACGCUUUUGGAAACCUAACGUCUUUGAAUUACUUGCACCUCUAUGGGAACCCACUCAAUUGUGACUGCAGAAUUGUUUCAUUCUGGUCAUGGUUAAUUGAAAGAGCAUCCAUUGGAACAAGUGCCAAAUGUAGCAACGGAAUAUUAGUUUCAUCACUGCAAUCAGCUGCGCUUGAAACAUGUAAUCCUGAUAAAUGCCACUGCUUCAAUCGUGGGAAAUGUGUGGCAAGGGUCAAUGAACUUGUUUGUGACUGCAUUGGACAAUGGACCGGUGAAUUUUGUCAAGACAGUCAGUGUAUCUCAUAUGACUGUGGAUUUGGUGACUGCUAUAUAGAGCCUAUGAAUGGUACAGCUCAGUGUUUGUUUGGCGACAGAUGUGUUAACUAUUGUCAUGGUAAGUUGUGUUAUAUUUAAUUACAAAGUAAAAUAAAUAUUGUUUUAAAAAAAUAGCAUCCGUUAUAUUUGGAAGGCAUGAUCACUUUUUCCAUUUAAUUUGUUUACAUUGCAUUUCAUUUGAUAUAUUGCAUAACAUGUAAUUAGCACAAAUUGCAAAUAGAACAAAAGAAGCAACGUAAAACAUUAUGUAAAAUGCUAUUAUUAUAGCAUAUGUAGAUGAAUUAUUGUUCGAGUAUUUAUCUAUCUGUAAUACAGUGUACCUUAGAUUGCUAACACAUGACAUGUUUUAGGAGUUGGUGUAUUAUAUAUUUUAUCUAAUUCAUAAAUGAUAAGCCAACCUCUAAUUACAUACAUUGUUUAUAUCUUUUCGUUUUUUGUUCUUUUUAUAAUUAAACAUAUUUACAUAAGGUAUAAAAGUCAAUCAUGUGUCUUUUAAAUCUAUUGAGUAUAAACCUAAUAUUUGUGAAUGCAAUUACUAAAACUUAUACAUCAAUGCACUGUUCUAUUAUCAUUUCAUGAUUCUAUGAUAACACGAGAAAGAAUCUGGAUAAAUAUCUGUAACAGAAGAUGAAGAUGCGGAGUAUGACGAUAAAAUAACGAGCAAGCGAAUGCAGACGAGCGGGUUUGAAUGCAUUGAUAUGUUUGUCGGAAAAAAGAUGGAAAGAAAUGCAAGGCAGACAUACAGAUAACAAAAGUUUUUUCUGUAAUUCAACAUGAAGUCUGCAUUUAUAUCAAAACAAGAUAUAAUAACUACGAUACAACACUGAAAUGGGACUUCUCUUUCGUGUAUUUAUAAUAGUCAACUAACAAAAAGAGACGAAAUAUUUCUAACAUUCACCAUAUGAGAGAUAUAAAUGAUAUAACACCCAUAUGAGACUAAUUUCAUUUUAUAUGUUAUUAUUAUAUGAUGUUACACAUUAUUAGAAGACAUAUGUGCAAAACUUGAUGUAAAAUGGGGAGAAUAGUUAUGCCUUUCAUUAAUUGUACAACUCUAAAGUGUAAUUUCUAUUGUUUCUUUAAAUCUGGACACAACACUGAUUUUUACCAUAUACCCCCAUGCUUCCUUCCACAGUAUAUUUAGUACAUCCUUGCCUUAAACAUGAAUUUUGUAUGUAAAACAACUUUAACUGGUUCCAAAAAGCUUUCAUUCCAUUAAUAUUUAGUGCAUUC